GGUGGUGUUUUUAUCCUGUCGUUGUGGAUCGAAAUUACUUCAUCCGUUUAAAGGUUUGAGACUGGGUUGUUCUGCCCAUCAAUGGACAUAUUUCUUCACAUGCCUGUAUCAAAGCAUACACGGUCAAUUAUUGAGUAGCUGCAGAAAGCUAGAAAAAUGAGACUUACGGUGCAAAUGUUGUUGACGUCAUCCAUACUUGAUCGGAUUUUUGGACGCAAAUUGGACAUAAGGGGAACAAACGCUUGACACCAUAGAACUGAGGCAGUCAGUCCCUCUUGUAUUGUCAGCAAGCCCAAUGGUAACAAGCAUCUUAUUCACAUCGACUGGAAAAAGGCAUUCGAUACACUUUCGGACAUUCUUUCAACAAUAAAGCAUCGUUGUGGGAUCAAGUGAAC